rnacentral:lncRNA from 1 species
CAUAUAUUUAAUUUCGGAAAAUCCUACACCUGUUCUUUACCAGAGAGCUUGGCUUGCUAACAUAAAUGGCAGUAGGUUCAAGUAUGCUGCUUCAACAUGCAGCGGCUCCAAUCUCAUUUAUUGCAAGCGAUUAGCUUUUCCAACUUCCUUGUCAAGUUCCCUCCUUGUGCACGUCAGUAUUCUGUCGCAGAAAUACAUCACAUCCUCACGAUGCCUAUUUGCAGCCUUAAGUUGCUCAUCAUCCACCCCGACUCAGCACCUGAACCUCUGACAUUACGUUCAGCACCCUGAUUGUUGCCCUUCCCAACUACAAAACUGGCAAACCGAAUGUCAUGCACGGGACAACAGACCAGAAUGCCAUUGCAAAAUUAUAUGCUUUAUACCUUGAUGCUCAGGUUGGAUGUUCCCUAUUGGAUUAACAUACUCUUGACUGCCAUUGCCACCUGAUGCACCUGAAGCAUGGGUGCCUGGGUGCCUACACAGGCAUUCCAAAGUUGCAUCAAAUAGGUUUCUAACUGUCUUGCUCACCAUUUUACAAAACAUUUUGCCAUAUGUCAAAAUAAUCUCCCAAUGGUUUCAAAUGCCACGCACCUCCUGCUGCAUGACCUCCUCGAAGAUUAGCUGCACACGAAGACUCCCCUGCAGCCCUAACUGUAGUACAAGAUCAUCCAGUCAUUGUAUGUUUUUGGUAGUACAUACAUGCAGUUAGAAAUAGGCGUAUGAUGUGCGGUAAAGAAACGAAAUAGGCGAGUCAGGGUACUUGUUAUUCCAGGGAACACAUAUGCUUCACUCCGGCAUGCCUGCUGACCUGUAUCAUAUUUGGGAACAUCAUUCCAAACUGACAUGCCAUCUACUUUCCAUUUUACCAAUUUCAAAUUAAGCUUUAAUUCAAAAACUUCCCAACUGAAUUCUGAUAUUUAUUUCCUCAUCAGAAUCGAGUAUCCACAAAACUAACCAACAGUCUUAUGCUUUUUUUAAUUCAUCUGGUGGGUGCCAGUAGCUCCAGCACUGUUAUUCCACAUAAUAUAUAUAACAAUUUUAAUUCCACUACGCCUUUUUUAUAAAUGGAAUCUAUUUGCACAACUGAUCAUCCUAUAUGCAACUUAGUUAAUGCAAUUCUAAGUUCACCUAAAAUUGGAAAAACAGCAUACAAUCAAAACACCCAUAUCGAACAGACUCGCUGUUAGUUCAUCCUACAUUCUUUGUGUUUUACGAUUUAAGUUUGUAAUAAAAGUUUUCUGCUUAGUUUUGAUAUUUAUUCUCUCAUAUCAGAAUCAAGUACCCAUAGAACAGACUAACACUGCUAUGCAUGUUGUUAAUCAUGCGUUGGUGCUAGUAUCUUCAGCACUGGCUAGGAGGAAAACAUGCAGGAUUUCCAAAAAUAUCUGUAUAUAACUAUUACAAUUUCUCCAGGAUCUACUUAUUCCAAAGUUUGUAACUAAAACUUCCUGCAAAACUGACCAGCCUAUCUGCAAGUCAGUUCAUGCGAUUUGAAGUACACCUAAAUUCAGACAAACAGUCUUCAAUCCAAACACCAUUAGCGAAGAGAUUACCUGCGAGUCCAGCCAUGAGUUUUUGGAUCAAUUUGGCCUAUCGGCUGGCACAUACGCCGCACAAACCUGCCCGUCAAUGCUACCUGUGGCCAUUGGGGGCAGCUCUUCGGCUCCUGUCGCCACAGCUAGGUAGGGCAGCGGCUCCAUUGGUAGCUCGUUGUGGUUCACCUCCUCCAUCACUGCGGUCCUACAGUCCACCAAACCCAUGGAUCAGAGGCACAAAUCCAUUGCAAAAUCCACCAACAGGAACUAUCUUGAGACGGGGAGAGGGGGGGUGGAACGGGGCUAGGGGAUUUGGUUUACCUCCGAAUCGGUUGCAUGAGGAACUCCAUCCGGGAAUCGCCGCCGCGUAUUCCUU